GAAAAGUUUGAUUCUAGCUUUAGUUUUUAUAGUUUUAAUUUUGUACAUGUAAAAUUAGGCAGUAUUUUGUAUUAUAAAAAUUGCAAUAAGAUAUAAAAUUUAAAUUUAUAUUAGGAUAAAGAUGUGCCAGCAUCUGCGGUUAGACUUCAUAGUUAAAUUAAAAUUUAUGGAUAAAUAAUUUUUAAGACUUAAAAAUUAUUUACUUUAUGGUUUGUGAAAUUUUGUGAAGUAUAUUAUUUUAAAAAGCUUAGUUCUUAUAUUGUAAUUGGAAUUUAAAAGACCAGGAUUAGAUACCCUGUUAUUUUCAUUAAAUGACUUAAGUAGUAGUUUUUAUGAAACUUAAAUAAUUUGGCGGUAGCUUAUUCCUUCCAGAGGAACUUGCCCUUUAAAUGACAGUACACGCUUAUUUUUACUUUUAUUUAUUUUAUAUACCGUUGUUUUAAAAAUUAAAUUAAUAUUUAGUUUUAAUUUUUAUUAAAAAAAUUCAAAUCAAGGUUUAGUUUAUAUAAAAGAAGAGGUGAGUUACAUUAUAAAAUUAUAUGGAUUGUUGAAACUGGAUUUGGAAGUAAUUUGGUUUUAUUAUUUAUUUGAAUUAGGCUCUAGGUUAUGUACACAUCGCCCGUCGCUCUAGUUAUGAAAUUAGAUAAGUCGUAACAAAGUAGACGCUCCGGAAGGAACAUCUUGU
rnacentral:ncRNA from 1 species